GGCGGACGGGUGAGUAACACGUGGGCAACCUGCCUGUAAGACUGGGAUAACUUCGGGAAACCGGAGCUAAUACCGGAUAAUCCUUUUCCUCUCAUGAGGAAAAGCUGAAAGACGGUUUACGCUGUCACUUACAGAUGGGCCCGCGGCGCAUUAGCUAGUUGGUGAGGUAACGGCUCACCAAGGCGACGAUGCGUAGCCGACCUGAGAGGGUGAUCGGCCACACUGGGACUGAGACACGGCCCAGACUCAUACGGGAGGCAGCAGUAGGGAAUCUUCCGCAAUGGACGAAAGUCUGACGGAGCAACGCCGCGUGAGUGAUGAAGGUUUUCGGAUCGUAAAACUCUGUUGUUAGGGAAGAACAAGUACAAGAGUAACUGCUUGUACCUUGACGGUACCUAACCAGAAAGCCACGGGCUAACUACGUGCCAGCAGCCGCGGUAAUACGUAGGUGGCAAGCGUUGUCCGGGAAUUAUUG
rnacentral:rRNA from 1 species